rnacentral:rRNA from 1 species
UACCAGCACCCCGAGUGGUCGGGACGUUUAUUGGGCCUAGAGCAUCCGUAGCCGGUUCUACAAGUCUUCCGUUAAAUCCACCUGCUUAACAGAUGGGCUGCGGAAGAUACUAUGGAGCUAGGAGGCGGGAGAGGCAAGCGGUACUCGAUGGGUAGGGGUAAAAUCCGUUGAUCCAUUGAAGACCACCAGUGGCGAAGGCGGCUUGCCAGAACGCGCUCGACGGUGAGGGAUGAAAGCUGGGGGGCGACAAGCGU